rnacentral:lncRNA from 1 species
UCCUGCCUCUAUCUUUCUUUUCACAAGGAAAACAAAUUUUUUGGUUCAAAGAAUAGUCUUCUCUAUAUCAUCUUUCAAUUAUUUCUCUAUGUUAUCAUCCAUCUGCUUUAUCUGGGGUGGUGACCGAGAGGAUUUAAUGUUUAAUUGAGACUAUUUUAUAUCACCAACUCCUACCUCACUGUCAUGUUUUUUUUCUUCCCCAAACUCGAACAGUCCACUAGCCACGUAUUGAACUUAUUCUUGUAGUGUGU